GCUACGGACUUAAAAUCCGUCGACUUUAUAAGUCGUGAGGGUUCAAGUCCCUCUAUCCCCA
rnacentral:tRNA from 10 species